rnacentral:rRNA from 1 species
AGAGUUUGAUCCUGGCUCAGGAUGAACGCUAGCUACAGGCUUAACACAUGCAAGUCGAGGGGCAGCAUGUUGGUUGCUUGCAACCAACGAUGGCGACCGGCGCACGGAUGAGUAACGCGUAUCCAACCUACCCUUGUCCAUCGGAUAACCCGUCGAAAGGCGGCCUAACACGAUAUGCGGUUCACAGCAGGCAUCUAACGUGAACGAAAUGUAAAGGAGAAGGAUGGGGAUGCGUCUGAUUAGCUUGUUGGCGGGGUAACGGCCACCAAGGCUACGAUCAGUAGGGGUUCUGAGAGGAAGGUCCCCCANAUUGGAACUGAGACACGGUCCAAACUGCUACGGGAGCA